GACAGAGGGUGAGGAGGCAGCUGAGAACAACAGGGCCAGCAAGCACUUCGCCUCAGGACGUGGGGCCGAGAGAGACCUGUGCACCUUAAGGGCAGGCCAUGAAAUGAACUUUCAUCUAUCACCUUCUCUCUGCCAUGAUGUGCUGUCUUUGCCAGAGGCCCAGGGCAACACCACGACUGGAACCUCUAGAACCAUGAGCCCAAAUUAACCUUUUUUCUUUAUAGGUUUAUAAUCUCAGGUAUUUUGCUACAGUAACAGAAAGCUGAUGAGCAAUGGGUCAAUAAGAAUAGAAUGUAGUUGUUGUUAACAGCCAUACAGAUUAAAAAUUAAUGAUAAUAACAGCAUUCUCUGGGUCCACGUGACUUCUUCCAUCUUUCUUUGCUCCAGCACCAUUUAUGAAACUUGAGUUGUGUGAUGGUCUGAAGGUAUGAGGAGAACUCAUUCAAGUUCUUCAGAGGUCAGGGCCAUGCUGUUUGAUUUUUGAUCCUUUUCUUAGUGAAGUACUCUUUAACAGUUUUCACAAGUUAAUCUGAAAAUUUCUUACAGCAUUUUGCUAAGCACAGCCCUCUAGGAACCUGACUGUACAUCACUGCUUGAAGUAGCCUGACCCCAAACCACUGGGCUCUUCAGGCUGGGUUUCCUGACCCUGCAGAGGCACAAGCCAUACCCUGUAGCUGCACCCUGCAGAUGGCCCCGGGGCAGCACAGAUGGUGACCCACACGGCCAUUAGCACCCUCGAAGAGGAGACUGUGCUCCCUCUACAGCUGCAGAUUUUGCUCACCCUGACCAGGAUGAGCGCCCCCAGCUCUGAGCUCAGUCUGGUUUGCGAGUGCAUCCCUCAUGCGGUAUGAGUGGUGGGGAGCUGGACUAGCAGUCUCCAAGGGCCAGCGCUUCUGAGAUGGCCACAAAGUGACUGUAAGUGCCGCGGGCUGGCUGCUGUGUUCCUGGAUGGAGGUGCUGCAGGCUGAACACACCCUGCUCUAACUUCAUUCUCUGGCACUGGAGGUUUUCAAAGCUGUAACUUUGCUCAUAAAGAUCUUGCUGGAGCUGGCUGUGCGACAUACACUGUUUAUUGGGAAGAAAUUUAAAAGGGAUCGCCUGGGUCGAGUCAUUAUUUCCUAGGAGCCUCCAAGUAAGUAGUCAAUGAAAACUUUGGAAACCUUAGACUGAUGCUUUUACAUGACAGUAAUUCACUGUAACGUGGUUUUAGCCGUUCAUUCACUUGCUGCUUCUGUUUUACAACAGCGAAGACGAGAAAGUGGCUACGUACUGAUUUAUGCCGUCCCUCCGUCUGGUUCUAUCAAACACAUACUUCCCUGUGUGCACCCUGGGAAAUACAAGUGCCUUUAAAGCUUUUCCCUCCAAGUUCCUCGUCCCACAGCUCUAAGCCUCGUAGUCCCUGCCUCUCUGCACAUAAAUUCCCUGCCACUGUCUCCAUCGCCACCAGCAGUGCAGACUGUCCUGUCCACUUGUGGUUUGCGUCACGUCAGGGAGCCGAGGUCCCCUUGGUGAGUCUCUGGGCACCGUGUUACUCUGGGUAGGCCCGCGUGACCUCGUCUUCUGGCUGAAGACAGCGAUUAGGCCACUGGGCGAGGAAGAUCCUUGGGGCACGCUCCAGGCACGGCGCUAGGAUCACACACUCCAGAUUACAACCUGAGCCGGGGAGAAAACCAAGCCAGGCCGGUCGUGCUCCCUCAGCAGCAUGCACAGCCGGUGAGCAAGGCCUGGGCCUCUGGCUCUUUGGCCGGAUGCUGGAGCCCAUGGGCUCUCCUCGGGGAGCGGUCUCCUUCGGGAAGGGUCAGGCGCAGUUCUGAUUUCACAAAGGAAGGAAAGAGAUAGACGGGUAACGUCCCUCCACCUGGGGUUCUGUUCCAUAUCCCGCUUCCACCUGGAAGGAGCGGCCCUGCAAGACCUUGGUUUUGCUCAGUGCUACUUAGCAAGGUCUCGCAGGCUUGCUGUGCUCAGGGGCUCAGCCGUGCGCCUGGCUCCGCUGUGACCUGGUGCCUGGCCAUUGUUCUCUCCUGUGGCCAACGUUUGUCGCCCCAGGUCCUGUGCUGGGACUCAGACUCUGCCUCGCUCCUGCAGGAUGAACAGUACAGCGGGGUCUCGGCACAUUCUGCUUUGGAAAGGGGCCAGCUGGGGUUUUCGUGGCCAACUCUGCCCCCUACUGGCAGAUUUCAGAUCUCCCAGGCGGCACAUGUGUUUAUCUUACGUGCUUACUAUGCCUGCCACAGUCACCCACGGUGUCACGGGGCUCCUCUGACUAACCAACAGAGGGAAGGAGCUCGCCCCACAUCCUCUGUGCUUUCCUGUCCUGCCGCAGCAAGCUCUCUGGGACACGCGGUCUCCUGUUACACAAGGACGCACUAUGCUUCACCUUGCGCAGAGAGAAUUUCUGCACACUGGUUUCAGGCAGGGAAGGCUCCAUAACACAGGAGGUCUGACGUCGUCCCAGGAUUAUAGGAUUGGACGCUGUACCCAAAAACAGGUCAUUCAGAAAACAGUCGAGCGGAGAAAACGUGCUGUGGAGGGCACAGCUCUCAGCAUGACGGCAGGUCCUCCGCCUCCAGAUCUCCAGGCUGGCGCUGUGAGCAGGGACCAGGGUGCUGCUGUCCCAGCUGACCGAGCCGUGCUUCUCACGGCUCCACCGUGCCGCGCUAGUCUCUUCCUGUCUGUUCAACACCACAGUAUCCAACGGUGCAUCAGAGAGGCUGCCUGUCUCUAAGGGAACUGAGCAGGUAACACACAGAAGGCAAGUACUUCUGCCCUGCUCUAGGGAGAGCAAGGAGCGAAAUGGCAGCGACUGGAGAAUCCACCUGAACCAUGAGGCUGCCGGGGAGACACAGCAGCCGCCAGUGUAAGGGGUCUGUCCAGCCCCUUGUGCGCCAACGCCUUGGCCCGGGGUUGCACCAUUAUGCCCGGCGGCUGCUGCCUCUUCCUGUCAGGAAGGGCUGGGUGCAUAAUCUUGGCGGCCCCUAAAAGUCCUUGGGGCGCUGGCACGACACCCCGACACUAAGCGACACUCACAAGAGCUGCCGCACAUCCCCAGGGCUGGGCCUGGCAUGUGCAUUGUGCUGUUUAAGUUCCUCCCGGGAGUCUGGUGCAGGAAUGCUGCAGACAGUGAGUGAGGUGGCCACCACCCACUCUCAGACCUGUGAUCACGUCACCUCCGAAUAUAAGCUGGCCACACAUGGAUUCUCCUCUUCGGCGUUAUUUCACUAUAGCGAAUGAAAUAACCCAGCUGUCCUUCCGGCCCUUAAAACCCUGGGUGUCACAGUUCUAAUGUUAAGUAGGCGUUGGCUUAAGAAGGAAUUGAAAUAUUUCACCACCCUGACAUAAUUUUCACUUUUAAUCUCUUUUUUUUUUUGGUUUUUCUCCGGUACCGGGAACCGAACUCACGACCUUGCACUUGCCAGGCAGGCGCUUUUGCCGCUGAGCUAAAUCCCCAGCCCCUUCCACUUUUAAUCUCUAUGGAAAUAAUAAAUCAGUAAUUCAAUUUUAAUGCAAGAAACUGGGUGGGAAACCUGAAAUUUGAACACAAUUCUGUGCAGUUUGGUGGCAUAACCAUUCUAAUUUAUUUGUGGCACAAAUAAAAAUCAUUUGGGGGGAGUCUGGUGUUUAAAAAAAGCAAUAACCCUUUGCAGGUAAUAAUGUUUUCUCCCCAUGAACAUAUUUCUUACAGUGUGUAUAUAGUCUACUGAUUUGCCAAUACAACUUUUAAAAGCCCAGUCUGCUGUAGAGAAUAUGAAAACUUUAUUUGUUAUUUCAAUACCAUUUCUUCCUCCUUGGUUCCACCUCAAGAAGCACAGACAGCAUCCUCUGUCAAAUAAAUCCUGGGACUCUACGCGGUGGAGCUACGAAAUUAGAAGGAAACAUGUAGCUUUUGCACCUUCAGAUCAGGGGCAGAAUUCCAGAUCCUAGGAAGCUUUUCAGGGUGUAAUUUGUUGGAACAGUUGCUGUUCACCUGGCAUAGCAGCACCUAGAAUGUGGCAGGGGGAGUCUACCGCUCGCUUCAAAAAUGAAAUAUGACACAAACAGCUUCCUGAAGACUACAACACGUCUGAGUUUCAGAUUUGAUUGGUAGAAGCUAAAGAAGUGCUCAUUUUGUGACUAUUCAUGGCCCAUGCCCUGAGAUCUUUUAUGAAACUGAAGCCUUUACAUAAAGCGCAGCAAGUGGAUGACUGCGGGAAGAAUCCAGCCUGCAGGCGGACCCCGCUCACUCUGCCACAUGACGCCAGGCUG